rnacentral:rRNA from 1 species
GACUGGGAUCAGCGGGUGUUGAAGAAGCCUAGGAAGAGGCUUAGAAAGGCUCAAAGGGACCUAGAACAUGUGAUGAUGGGUCCUAUGAACGAUGAUAACGAAGCUAGGAGGAAGGAACUAGCGGAACUGAUCGAGUAUUUGCUUGAACUUGAGGAGAUCCAAGUCAUGCAAAGAUCACGAGUAAACUGGCUGAAAUAUGGAGAUCACAAUACCGGCUUCUUUCAGGCUUUUGCAUCAGCACGACGCAAGAAGAAUUUCGUCACAAAACUGAAAGACGAAUCGGGCAACUGGCUGGAAAGUAUGCAGGAUCUGAACCCUCAUAUUCAAAAUUAUUUCACACAUCUUUUUGCUUCAGAAGUUCAGCACACCAAU